CCAUCCUUCUGGUAGGUGUACUACGGAUUCGCAAUAGAGCUAUGGGCAAGAGAAUGUUCCACUUAAGUUGGGUUUCCUGACACAUUUUAGCCAACUGAUUCUUAAUAGUUCUAUUCAUUCUCUCUACCUUACCAGAACUCUGGGGUCUAUAUGCCGUAUGAAGCCUCCACUUUAUACCAAGCAUAUGAGUCAAUUGUUGUAGGCACUGAUGAACAAAAGCUGGACCAUUG